CUGUUGGUAGCACAGUGGUAGAGUGCAUGCUUUGUGUGUAUGACGUCCUGUAUUCGAAUCACAACUCUCAAU